ACCGGAUGUGGUCUCCAGUUUGCAUGAACAGGAGAUUAAAGGUGACCUCUACUUGUAAGUUAUCGUUUAGGGAUGGUCUUGCGGACCAUUAGCUUGUUGGCGGGGUAACGGCCCACCAAGGCUGCGAUGGUUAGCCGGCUUAAGAGGGUGAUCGGCCACAUUGGGACUGAGAUACGGCCCAGACUCCUACGGGAGGCAGCAGUAGGGAAUUUUGCGCAAUGGACGAAAGUCUGACGCAGCAACGCCGCGUGAGCGAUGAAGGUUUUCGGAUUGUAAAGCUCUGUUGAGUGGGAAGAAAACUCUCCGGGAUAAUACCCCGGAGACUUGACGGUACCACUCGAGGAAGCCUCGGCUAAAUACGUGCCAGCAGCCGCGGUAAUACGUAUGGGGCAAGCGUUGUUCGGAAUCACUGGGCGUAAAGGGAGUGUAGGCGGAAAGGUAAGUUAGAAGUGUAAUCCACGGGCUUAACCCGUGACUCGCUUUUAAUACUGCUUUUCUUGAGUAUGGGAGAGGGAGAUGGAAUUCCAGGUGUAGCGGUGGAAUGCGUAGAUAUCUGGAAGAACACCAGUAGCGAAGGCGGUCUCCUGGCCCAAUACUGACGCUGAGGCUCGAAAGCGUGGGGAGCGAACAGGAUUAGAUACCCUGGUAGUCCACGCCGUAAACGAUGGACACUAGAUGUUGGCCUCUUCGGGGGUCGGUGUCGUAGCUAACGCGUUAAGUGUCCCGCCUGGGAAGUACGCUCGCAAGAGUGAAACUCAAAGGAAUUGACGGGGGCCCGCACAAGCGGUGGAGCAUGUGCUUUAAUUCGAUGCAACGCGAAGAACCUUACCUGGACUUGACAUGGGGGUGAAAGUUUUCAGAGAUGAAAACCCUUCCUUCGGGAACGCCCUACACAGGUGCUGCAUGGUUGUCGUCAGCUCGUGUCGUGAGAUGUUGGGUUAAGUCCCGCAACGAGCGCAACCCUUGUCCUUAGUUGCCAGCGGGUCAUGCCGGGAACUCUAGGGAGACUGCCUGGUACAACCAGGAGGAAGGUGGGGAUGACGUCAAAUCAUCAUGGCCCUUACGUCCAGGGCUAGACACGUGCUACAAUGGCCGGUACAGAGGGCUGCAAGACUGCGAAGU
rnacentral:rRNA from 1 species